CUCUUCUUAGAAUAUUGUCAACAUGGCUUAUAAGGUUUUCGUCGUGGUCGCCUUCCUGGUCGUCGUCGCAGCUGAUGGUAACCUUUCCUACGGCCCACAACGUCCCCGCCCCAACCGGUCCUGCCCAGUUCAACUUUGAGUGGAAUGUGAAGGACGACUACCUCGCCAACGACUUCGGCCACAGUGAAGGUCGUAAUGGUUACGACACUGAGGGGCACUAUUACAUGCAGCUUCCCGACGGUCGUUCAUAGAGGGUCACCUACAACGUGAACGGCGACUCUGGUUUCAUAGCCAAUGUCGAAUACGAGGGAGAGGCCCAGUACCCCGCCUCUCAGCCAGCUCCCGUGUACACUUAACCAUCUCACAUCUCAUACUCAGAUGUGUUUCCAUUUAUGCAGAUACGUAUAAAGGUGCGUAACUUUUAACGAAUGAAAUAGAAAAUCACCUGUGUUAAUUAUCUUAUCGUAAACCAUAUACAAUUAAAUUUACACCACUAGCAAAUAAAUCGUCUUAGGUGUUUCUUAUGUCCAGUCGGUGAUGAACAACUUCCUUGGUGCCGGAGCAGUGUUUCCAGACCAACACAAUAUAUACUUCCAAGUCUAUUCCAUAUGAACAACUUAAUACAUGUAGAUAAAGAAAUGAAUGUUAUUGAUAUUAUACACUUAAGCACACACCGUGGUAAGUGAAAGCUAUUUUAUGUUGUACAGCGGUCACACACACACACACACACACACACACACACACACACACACACACACACACACACACACCCACAUGAAGCCAGUUAUUUAUAGUUUUCAUCCAAAGCCUGAGAGACUGAGAUACUACAAUACUCCAAUUAGUCUUA